rnacentral:rRNA from 1 species
AGAGUUUGAUCAUGGCUCAGAUUGAACGCUGGCGGAAUGCUUUACACAUGCAAGUCGAACGGCAGCACGGGUGCUUGCACCUGGUGGCGAGUGGCGAACGGGUGAGUAAUGCACCGGAACGUAUCCAAUAAUGGGGGAUAACGCACCGAAAGGUGUGCUAAUACCGCAUACGCCCUGAGGGGGAAAGCGGGGAUCGUAAGACCUCGCGUUAAUGGAGCGGCCGAUGCCGGAUUAGCUAGUUGGUGAGGUAAAGGCUCACCAAGGCGACGAUCCGUAGCUGGUCUGAGAGGACGACCAGCCACACUGGAACUGAGACACGGUCCAGACUCCUACGGGAGGCAGCAGUGGGGAAUUUUGGACAAUGGGCGCAAGCCUGAUCCAGCCAUUCCGCGUGAGUGAAGAAGGCCUUCGGGUUGUAAAGCUCUUUCGCAAGGAAAGAAAACUUAUCUCCUAAUACGAGGUGAGGUUGACGGUACCUUGAUAAGAAGCACCGGCUAACUACGUG